UGCAGCAAUAUCGGAGAUAGUUUGAGAUAAGCCUCGGGUCUCAGGCGAAACUUUAGAGGAUAAGGGAUGAGUGGGUGGCUUCGGUCUUGCUCUUCCCCGACAAUGAAGGCGAAGAUAAACAUGUAGAAAGCAAAUUAAUUCCUCGUUUGGACGAGAGUUCGAAUCUCUCCAUCUCCACGG
rnacentral:tmRNA from 1 species